CCUACGGGUGGCUGCAGUGAGGAAUAUUGGUCAAUGGGCGCAAGCCUGAACCAGCCAAGUAGCGUGAAGGAUGACUGCCCUACGGGUUGUAAACUUCUUUUAUAAAGGAAUCAAGUGAGGCACGUGUGCCUUUUUGUAUGUACUUUAUGAAUAAGGAUCGGCUAGCUCCGUGCCAGCAGCCGCGGUAAUACGGAGGAUCCGAGCGUUAUCCGGAUUUAUUGGGUUUAAAGGGAGCGUAGAUGGGUUGUUAAGUCAGUUGUGAAAGUUUGCGGCUCAACCGUAAAAUUGCAAUUGAUACUGGAAGUCUUGAGUACAGUUGAGGUAGGCGGAAUUCGUGGUGUAGAGGUGAAAUGCUUAGAUAUCACGAAGAACUCCGAUUGCGAAGGCAGCUUACUAAACUGCCACUGACAUUGAUGCUCGAAAGUGUGGGUAUCAAACAGGAUUAGAUACCCGAGUAGUC
rnacentral:rRNA from 1 species